rnacentral:rRNA from 1 species
GUGGGGAAUUUUGGACAAUGGGCGAAAGCCUGAUCCAGCCAUGCCGCGUGCAGGAUGAAGGCCUUCGGGUUGUAAACUGCUUUUGUACGGAACGAAAAGACUCUGGUUAAUACCUGGGGUCCAUGACGGUACCGUAAGAAUAAGCACCGGCUAACUACGUGCCAGCAGCCGCGGUAAUACGUAGGGUGCAAGCGCUAAUCGGAAUUACUGGGCGUAAAGCGUGCGAAGGCGGUUAUAUAAGACAGAUGUGAAAUCCCCGGGCUCAACCUGGGAACUGCAUUUGUGACUGUAUAGCUAGAGUACGGCAGAGGGGGAUGGAAUUCCGCGUGUAGCAGUGAAAUGCGUAGAUAUGCGGAGGAACACCGAUGGCGAAGGCAAUCCCCUGGGCCUGUACUGACGCUCAUGCACGAAAGCGUGGGGAGCAAACAGGAUUAGAUACCCGAGUAGCC